UCACUGGUCUGAACGAGUCACAGGGCCACGCUGAACUUCAAGGGACCGUGGAAAUGUAAUCCAGCAUGCGUUUGGAAUGAAGACUAGAAAAAUCCGGGAGGACAGCCCUAACGAUACACAAGGGAUAACUCGGGAAAGGAGAGCGAAGACCAGGUCACGCCCACGGGUGGGCCUUGAAUGCCACGUUCAAGAGUGUGGAACUCGUCCAGCGUGAUGGGGAGCGCCGAGUAGGUGAGUGAGAUGUCAGCCCGUGGGGAACGAAGGAGGCCGGCCCAGGAGAAGGUCGCAAGAGAAGAAGGAGGUUAAGAGGAAGGGAGGAGCAGCAGGAGAGAAGGAAUGGCAGCUUUGCCGUGGUGCAGAACCACCCUGCAGAAAACUCCUGCCCCAGCCCGGGUUUGGGGGGCGAAGUUACAUGAGGGCGCCCGCCGGUGGGCAGGCGCGAACUCCGGACCCUGAGAUCAAGAGUCCCUUGCUCUACUGAGCCAGGUGCGCAUCGCCACCUUUAAAGUGGGAACAAUAACAGAGCCUCAUGUGUUAAUAUGUGUAGGGUGCUUCGAUUCUUGAUGAGGACUCAAGGCCCAGAGAACAACUCGGCCAAGGUCACCUGGGACCAAGACCACUGAGUGACAAAACCGACUGGAGCUCCGAGGCCUGCAGCACCUGUGACCUGUCUUUGGAGGAUCUCCUACCAUGGCCCAGUGGCCACAGGAUGGCUCUCAGACAAGCUUGUGGCCGUGGGAGAGCCCAGCUCCCCUGCCUUGGGUUGGGCAUUUUGGAGGCCAGACUUGCCUUCCAGGGUUCGCUGUGGGAGCAGGCUGGAGCUUCCGUCUGCAGGACUUGUGCAGAAUCACACCCAGGCUUGGCUUGGUCCCAUCCCGGUCCUGCUUCCCCUGCCCCUCACUGGCUUCUCUGAGAGCAACUUUGAAAUAAAUU